rnacentral:rRNA from 1 species
CCUGGCGGCCAUAGCGCCGUGGAACCACCUGAUCCCAUGCCGAACUCAGAAGUGAAACGCGGUAGCGCCGAUGGUAGUGUGGCAUUCGCCAUGCGAGAGUAGGACACUG